rnacentral:rRNA from 1 species
CCUACGGGAGGCAGCAGUGAGGAAUAUUGGUCAAUGGGCGGAAGCCUGAACCAGCCAAGUAGCGUGCAGGAUGACGGCCCUACGGGUUGUAAACUGCUUUUAUACGGGAAUAACGCGCCUUACGUGUAGGGCUUUGCAUGUACCGUAUGAAUAAGGACCGGCUAAUUCCGUGCCAGCAGCCGCGGUAAUACGGAAGGUCCGGGGGUUAUCCGGAUUUAUUGGGUUUAAAGGGAGCGUAGGCCGCAUGUCAAGCGUGCUGUGAAAUGUCCGGGCUCAACCCGGGCCUUGCAGCGCGAACUGGCGUGCUUGAGUCCGCGGAAAGCAGGCGGAAUUCGUCGUGUAGCGGUGAAAUGCUUAGAUAUGACGAAGAACCCCGAUUGCGAAGGCAGCAUGCUGCAGCGGAACUGACGCUGAUGCUCGAAAGCGCGGGUAUCGAACAGGAUUAGAUACCCGUGUAGUC